GUCCUAAUCGUUGGGAGAUUAUAUUUCUUAAUUGUUCUGAAGUUAUAACCAGCCUUAUUCAUUUCUGGUAAAAGUCCGUGAAGUUUGUGAUCUUCAUUUUCUUCAAUUUCACGAAACAGUUUUUCACAUAGUUUCUCUCUACGGUCGUUUAGUCUUUCUAGGUUUCCCAUUUCCAACGCUUCACUAUAAUCCACGUAAGGGUAAAUAAUUCUUAGGGCUCUUUUCUGAAUUUGUUCAAUUUCUUUUGAAAGAUAAUUAGGAAGACCUGAGUGAAAGGCCUGACAAGCGUAUUCAAGGACAGAUCUGAUACAGGCGCAGUAGAAUUUGAUCAAUGAAUUAGUAUCGACAUUCGCACGUUUUAACUGUUUCAGGAGAUAAAGUCGUUUGGAAGCUUUUAAUAAAAUAUUUGCCACAUGGACAUUCCAUUUUAAAUCAUCGGUAAUAGUCAUUCCUAAGAUUUUUGCGGAUGUUACCACUUUGAAAUGUUUAUCAUUUACUUUGACUGGUUCGUCUCUGCAAGGGUCUUUAGUAAAAUUUAUUCUAAGUUCUUUGCAUUUUCCAGAAUUUAAUUGAAAUUUGUUAUUAUUUGACCAAUUAGCCACUUGAUCAACUAUAUCUUGUAAAUUGCUAUUUUCAGUUCUAGGGAUGACCUCCAAAAUUGUGGAAUCAUCAGCGAAUUUCCACAUCUUGUUUGUUGAAUUCUCUGAAACGUUCAAAUCGUUUAUCAUAAUGAGGAACAACCAUGGUGCUAAUUUGGUCCCUUGAGGUACCCCUGCCUGGACUUGCAGUAUAUUGGAAUGGCACUUAUAAUUCAACUUAAUUCUUUGGGUACGCUUAUAUAAGAAGUCUGUAAUCCAAUUAGUGACUGAUGGUUUAAUUCCGUAGUUAAUAAGUUUUGAUAUAAGAAGGGUAUGGUCCACCAAGUCAAAAGCUUUCCUAAAGUCUAAUAAGGCAACUUUCACUGUAGAACCUGUUCCAUCUGUUGCGGCCAACCAGUUAUGUAGCAUUGAGAUAAUUGCAUGAGUUGUACAUGAUUUAGGAAUGAAGCCAAAUUGGUGGGGACCUAUUUUCUGUAAAAUUUUAGGUUUCAGUUCGAGGUCGAUUACAAACCCUUCCGCGAUUUUCGAUAGUGUAGACGUCAACGAUAUUGGUCUCAGGUCUUUGUUGAAAUCAGUUAUGCUCGAUGUUUUAGGGAUGGGUGAUACGCCAGCCAUCUUCCAUGCCUGUGGAACCGCACAGUUACGAAAUGAACAAUUUAAAAUGUCUGUAAUGGCUGGAGCUAAGAUAUCAGCAUAUAUUUUUAAUACCCAAUUUGGAAGUUUGUCUGGACCAUUUGUUCUGGAUAUACUUAUUUUGCGUAACUUCUGCUGAACAGAUGUUAGGCUAACUUGUAUAGGGUCAUCUUCCUCUUGGGUUACAUGGGCAUCGUCUGUUACAGGGGUAUAAUCUUUUGUGACACUAAUAAAGGCUUCGUUUAUCAUAUUAGCUAGUACUUGGUCGGAACAAUCGUUGUUUAUCCUUAGGAUAGAACGUAGAUCUUUACGGUUUGUUGUUUUGCAGCCACAGAGUUGUUUUAUUUCGCACCACCAUUGACUAGGUUUAGUAUUUUUGAGAUCCUGCACUUUAGUUUUAUAAUAUAUUUCACGGCAUCGUUUUCUUUCACGAUUGACUUUAUUUCGUAGGAGUGAGAACAAAGGUUUGUUACCCGUUGCAAAUGCCUUCUGUCUUUUAUUGAUAAGUCGUUUCAAAUUAUUUGUCAUCCACGGACGGUCAGUAGCAUGCACUUUGAUAGAUCUUUCUGGCAUAAUAGUGUUCAGUCCGUAGUUUACUAUGUCGGUAAAAAUUGAGAGUUUUUCACAAGGAGAUUGAACUGAUGAUAAAAUAUCUUCAAAUGGAACGUUCUGGAAAAACCGGCCAAGACUGGAGAUAUUACUUCUUCUUUUAUCGCGCACUUUUAUUAUUUUCU